rnacentral:rRNA from 1 species
GACGAACGCUGGCGGCGUGCUUAACACAUGCAAGUCGAACGGUGAAGCCCUUCGGGGUGGAUCAGUGGCGAACGGGUGAGUAACACGUGAGCAAUCUGCCCUUGACUCUGGGAUAACUUCGGGAAACCGGAGCUAAUACCGGAUAUGACGCACGGAGGCAUCUUCUGUGUGUGGAAAGAUUUAUCGGUCAGGGAUGAGCUCGCGGCCUAUCAGCUUGUUGGGGGUAAUGGCCUACCAAGCGACGACGGUAGCCGGCCUGAGAGGGCGACCGGCCACACUGGGACUGAGACACGGCCCAGACUCCUACGGGAGGCAGCAGUGGGGAAUAUUGCGCAAUGGGCGAAAGCCUGACGCAGCGACGCCGCGUGAGGGAUGAAGGCCU